rnacentral:misc_RNA from 1 species
GCUUCUCCUUGUUCCUGUUCCUAACUCCUCCCCGGGUAGUUCCCAAUGUUUGGCACUUUCCAUACUUCGUGGGUGCAACAUCAACAAAUUCGCUCAUGAUCAAGUUACAACCUAAGAUCUAUGACUAUAUUAUGUUAACUGUUCGUAUUUUGUUCAUUCCAUCGGUAUGCUCCCAGGUACCUGUAAUUGUGAUCUGUUUGCCAGAACCAAGGGGUCUUUCUGUGGAAACCUUCACGAGCAAUCGUCGUUUUUUGAUGGUUUUUCCGCUUAUCACAGCAGCUCUUUCCACACCUCCGGAUAUCUGGUGCCAAAUCGUCGCCCCUUUCCUUAUAUAUUCGAUAAUCGAGUUUGCUAUCUUUGUGGCAUUGAUUGUACAAGUUCGUGAAGAGGGCUGGACGAGUAGAAUGAGGGAAAGCGGCUCGAUCGAGAAAAAAGAGGAGUAGACCAGCCCCCCUAGAACUGAAAAAAGUCACUAUCAAUGAAUUCCCGAGCAAUUCUAAACCAACAUAUGCGAUUCAUUCCCGUAAUGAUUAUAACAAACAAACAGCAGACUCCUUGCCUUAUUUUCGGGAUGAGUGAUACAUCCGGCGAGCGCCGGUGAA